rnacentral:rRNA from 1 species
CUUAGUGGCGCACGGGUGAGUAAUAUAUAGUUAAUCUGCCCCAUAGUGGAGGACAACAGUUAGAAAUGACUGCUAAUACUCCAUACUCCUUCUUAUCAUAAGUUAAGUCGGGAAAGUUUUUCGCUAUGGGAUGAGACUAUAUCGUAUCAGCUAGUUGGUGAAGUAAUGGCUCACCAAGGCUAUGACGCGUAACUGGUCUGAGAGGAUGAUCAGUCACAUUGGAACUGAGACACGGUCCAAACUCC